rnacentral:rRNA from 1 species
AUUCCAGCUCCAAUAGUGUAUAUUAAAGUUGUUGCAGUUAAAAAGCUCGUAGUUGGAUUUCUGGCGGGAGCGAUCGGUCCUUCACUCAGUGUUGGAACCUGAUUGUCUCCUGCCAUCCAUGGAGAAAACUUAUCUGGCAUUAAGUUGUCGGGUAGGCAAUCUCCAUCUUUUACUGUGAAAAAAUUAGAGUGUUCAAAGCAGGCUUAUGCCGUUGAAUAUAUUAGCAUGGAAUAAUAAGAUAGGACUAUGGUACUAUUUUGUUUGUUUGUGCACCAUGGUAAUGAUUAAUAGGGACAGUUGGGGGUAUUCGUAUUCCAUUGUCAGAGGUGAAAUUCUUGGAUUUAUGGAAGACGAACUACUGCGAAAGCAUUUACCAAGGAUGUUUUCAUUG